rnacentral:rRNA from 1 species
UUUCCCAUUACGCAAGUAAGUAAGAUCCCUCAAAGACGAUGAGGUAGAUAGGUUCGAGGUGGAAGUGUGGUGACACAUGGAGCUGACGAAUACUAAUCGAUCGAGGACUUAACCAAA